rnacentral:rRNA from 1 species
AUGCUUCGGAUUAGAGAAAAUGACUCUAAUUUGUCCACGCCUACGAAUCAGUCGACAUUUUGUACAAAUUUUACGAACAGAAGCUCUUAUUUUCAUAUUUCCGGAGAAUUCGUUUCUAAUAGAUACUUGAAUGAAAAAAUUCGAUACCAUAGUCCCCGCUACUCUCCUCAUAGGAUACUUAUCAAAAACUCAAUUUUGUACUGGAUCGGGGCAUCCUAUUAG